rnacentral:rRNA from 1 species
AAAAACAUAGCCUUUAGCAAAACAAGUAUUAAAGGUCUAGCCUGCCCAGUGAGUUAUUUCAACGGCCGCGGUAUCCUAACCGUGCAAAGGUAGCGUAAUCAUUUGUCUUCUAAAUAGAGACUUGUAUGAACGGCUAACUGAGGGCCCAACUGUCUCCUUAGGCCAAUCAAUGAAACUGAUCUUUCAGUACAAAAGCUGAAAUAAACACAUAAGACGAGAAGACCCUGUGGAGCUUAAAACCUACACUAUAAACGCCCAUCCAUCCCUAAAGGGACACCUCCCUCCCCAUAGUAAAAAGUUUUUAGUUGGGGCGACUUUGGAACAAAACAGAACUUCCAUGCCAGGGACCCUCCCUAUAAAGGCUUACAUGCCAAAAUAAUACUCUUUUGACCCAGCCUGUCUGAUCAACGAACCAAGUUACCCCAGGGAUAACAGCGCCAUCCUCUUCAAGAGUUCCUAUCGACAAGAGGGUUUACGACCUCGAUGUUGGAUCAGGACACCCCGGUGGUGUAGCCGCUACCAAAGGUUCGUUUGUUCAACGAUUAACAGU